rnacentral:rRNA from 1 species
GACGUAGGGUGCGAGCGUUGUCCGGAUUUAUUGGGCGUAAAGAGCUCGUAGGCGGCUCGUCGCGUCGACCGUGAAAACCCGCGGCUUAACUGCGGGCUUGCGGUUGAUACGGGCGGGCUAGAGUUCGGUAGGGGAGACUGGAAUUCCUGGUGUAGCGGUGAAAUGCGCAGAUAUCAGGAGGAACACCGGUGGCGAAGGCGACUACCUGGCCUGUUCUUGACGCUGAGGCGCGAAAGCUAGGGGAGCAAACGGG